CUUAUAACAGGCGCGCUGACAUCACAGAGUUCUUAACCCCGUCCUAUCCGGCGAGACACGGAGCGGCCCGAUUCGUCCCAAAUAUCAAGGAAAAGUUCAAACAUUGACUUCUGCGUAAAGGCUGAAGAGUUAAACUCGACAGUGGCUAUCAUCAAACGAAACGGUGGCUUGAUGUGGACAUAGAUACUUUUAGGGGAAAAGGAGAAGAUCCAUUCCUGAUACUUGAUGGAUUCACCCCGCUUGGAAGGGCAGUGGAGAACAGGCGCUAAGGUAAACAUUUCUUUUAGUACAUCAACAGAAGUUUGUGCCUCAGGACUUCAGAU